rnacentral:misc_RNA from 1 species
GAUGAAGAACGUAGCGAAAUGCGAUAAGUAAUGUGAAUUGCAGAAUUCAGUGAAUCAUCGAAUCUUUGAACGCACAUUGCGCCCGGCAGUAUUCUGCCGGGCAUGCCUGUUCGAGCGUCAUUUCAACCAUCAAGCCCCCAGGGGCUUGUGCUGGGGCCCUGCGGCUGCCCGCAGGCCCUGAAAACCAGUGGCGGGCUCGCUAGUCACACCGAGCGCAGUAGCACAUCUCGCUCAGGGCGUGCGGCGGGCUCCUGCCGUGAAACCCCCCACUGUAACCCCAAAGGUUGACCUCGGAUCAGGUAGGAAUACCCGCUGAACUUAAGCAUAUCAAUAAGCGGAGGA